UAAUUAUAUGUCUUACCGUAGACAGCAGGGGACGCAAGUCUUAAUAACCUGCCGAGGAAGAAUCCAGUUCAUAACAACGGAUCCUCUAUGUCUAGGUGGCAUAGAGUUUUUUGUUUAU
rnacentral:sRNA from 1 species